UUGAAUAGGAAUCUUUGUGGUUUCCGCUGCCUGCACCAUGACAUGCUGGCGCGGAAAGUGAACAAGGGAACCGGGUGAGAAUCCCGGACGGUAACCGCCGCUGUAUG
rnacentral:ncRNA from 1 species